AUGGGGAUGGGAACAGCUCAGCCCUUGACCCAAACCCUGACCCUUGGAACCCAAAUUGUGACCCUUGGACUGACCCAUCCUCCUCUUCCUGUGCUCCUGGUGAUCCUCCCAGGGCUGCGGGCGGCCGUGACCCUGCUGGAGUCCGGGGGGAACCUCCAGCCCCCCGGGGGGUCCCUGCGCCUCCUCUGCCGAGCCUCCGGCUUCGAUUUUGGCAGUUUUGCCAUGCAAUGGGUUCGACAGAGACCCGGGCAGACGCUGGAAUUUGUCGCGUAUAUCAGCAACGGUGGCAGCACCUGGUACCCGCCGUCGGUCAAGGGCCGGUUCACGAUCUCCAGGGACAACGGGCAGAGCUCGGUGACGCUGACCAUGAGCAGCCUCAAGGACGAGGAUUCCGCCGUCUAUUUCUGCGCUAAAUAUUUUGCUGCCACUCCAGAUUACUCAGCAUAUGCCCUGGCCCUGCUGUCCUCACCUGGGCUGGUCAAUCUCUCCUUGGUUGCCCUGGGCCAGAGGAUCGAGGCCCCCCCAGGGGAAUUUUCACGCUGA